rnacentral:rRNA from 1 species
ACACGACUCUCGGCAAUGUAUAUCUCGGCUCUCGCAUCGAUGAAGAGCGCAGCGAAAUGCGAUAUGUGGUGCGAAUUGCAGAAUCCCGCGAACCAUCGAGUCUUUGAACGCAAGUUGCGCCUGAGGCCAACCGGCUGAGGGCACGUCCGCCUGGGCGUCAAGC